rnacentral:rRNA from 1 species
GCGUUGUCCGGAAUUAUUGGGCGUAAAGGGCUCGUAGGCGGUUUGUCGCGUCGGGAGUGAAAACCAGGUGCUUAACACCUGGCUUGCUUUCGAUACGGGCAGACUAGAGGUAUUCAGGGGAGAACGGAAUUCCUGGUGUAGCGGUGAAAUGCGCAGAUAUCAGGAGGAACACCGGUGGCGAAGGCGGUUCUCUGGGAAUGACCUGACGCUGAGGAGCGAAAGUGUGGGGAGCGAACAGGAUUAGAUACCCUGGUAGUCCACACCGUAAACGUUGGGCGCUAGGUGUGGGGUCCAUUCCACGGAUUCCGUGCCGCAGCUAACGCAUUAAGCGCCCCGCCUGGGGAGUACGGCCGCAAGGCUAAAACUCAAA